UCUUCAUUUGACUACAGAAAGUAGCUACAUGAGAAGACACUCCAUUUAAAUGCACAUAUGAUGUAGCUAUAUAAAAUAGGUCAUCCUCAUUUGACUACAGAAAGUAGCUACAUGAGAAGACACUCCAUUUAAAUACACAUA